GAUGAACGCUAGCGGGAGGCUUAACACAUGCAAGUCGAGGGGUAAAUGGUAGCAAUACUAUGAGACCGGCGGACGGGUGCGUAACGCGUAUGCAACAUACCUUGUGCAGGGGGAUAGCCCGUGGAAACGCGGAUUAAUAUUCCAUGGUCCAGCUAUAUCGCAUGGUAUAGUUGGUAAAGAUUUAUCGGCACAAGUUUGGCAUGCGUCUGAUUAGCUUGUUGGUAGGGUAACGGCCUACCAAGGCUACGAUCAGUAGGGGUUCUGAGAGGAUUAACCCCCACACUGGUACUGAGACACGGACCAGACUCCUACGGGAGGCAGCAGUGAGGAAUAUUGGUCAAUGGGCGGAAGCCUGAACCAGCCAUCCCGCGUGAAGGAAGACAGCCUUACGGGUUGUAAACUUCUUUUCUGUCAGAAGAAUAAGCUUGUCGAGACGAGUGAUGCCGGUAUGACAGGAAUAAGCAUCGGCUAACUCCGUGCCAGCAGCCGCGGUAAAACG
rnacentral:rRNA from 1 species